rnacentral:rRNA from 1 species
UACGUAGGUGGCUAUUCAAGUUAGUUGUGAAAUUCCGGGGCUCAACUCCGGCGCUACAAUUAAGACUGUUUAGCUUGAGUGCAGGAGGGGUAAGUGGAAUUCCUAGUGUAGCGGUGGAAUGCGUAGAUAUUAGGAGGAACACCAGUGGCGAAGGCGACUUACUGGACUGUAACUGACACUGAAGUACGAAAGCGUGGGGAGCAAACA